rnacentral:misc_RNA from 1 species
AAGACUAUAGACCUGCGGAGUACCUGCGGAGGGAUCAUUAGUGAACGCCCUCACGGGCUUAUAACUAUUCCAAACCUCUGUGAACCGUGCCCUUCGGGGCUAUUUUACAAACAUGGUGUAAUGAACGUCAUAUAUCAUAACAAAACAAAACUUUCAGCAAUGGAUCUCU